CCUACGGGAGGCAGCAGUGGGGAAUAUUGCACAAUGGGGGAAACCCUGAUGCAGCGACGCCGCGUGAAGGAUGAAGUAUUUCGGUAUGUAAACUUCUAUCAGCCGGGACGACACUGACGGUACCUGACUAAGAAGCCCCGGCUGACUACGUGCCAGCAGCCGCGGUCAUACGUAGGGGGCCCGCGUUAGCCGGCUGUACUGGGUGUAAGGGGAGCGUAGACGGCGUGGGAAGGCUGGUGUGAAAACCCGGGGCUUAACCCCGGAACUGCAUUGGAAACUGUCAGGCUAGAGUGUCGGAGAGGCAAGUGGAAUUCCUAGUGUAGCGGUGAAAUGCGUAGAUAUUAGGAGGAACACCAGUGGCGAAGGCGGCUUGCUGGACGAUGACUGACGUUGAGGCUCGAAAGCGUGGGGAGCAAACAGGAUUAGAUACCCUUGUAGUC
rnacentral:rRNA from 1 species